UUAAAUUGAAGAGUUUGAUCAUGGCUCAGAUUGAACGCUGGCGGCAGGCCUAACACAUGCAAGUCGAACGGUAACAGGAAGCAGCUUGCUGCUUCGCUGACGAGUGGCGGACGGGUGAGUAAUGUCUGGGAAACUGCCUGAUGGAGGGGGAUAACUACUGGAAACGGUAGCUAAUACCGCAUAAUGUCGCAGGACCAAAGAGGGGGACCUUCGGGCCUCUUGCCAUCAGAUGUGCCCAGAUGGGAUUAGCUUGUUGGUGAGGUAACGGCUCACCAAGGCGACGAUCCCUAGCUGGUCUGAGAGGAUGACCAGCCACACUGGAACUGAGACACGGUCCAGACUCCGUACGGGAGGCAGCAGUGGGGAAUAUUGCACAAUGGGCGCAAGCCUGAUGCAGCCAUGCCGCGUGUAUG
rnacentral:rRNA from 1 species